AAGUCGAGGGGUAACGACUCCGUCUUCGGAUGGAAGUCGACGACCGGCGCACGGGUGAGUAACGCGUAUGCAACCUACCUUUUACAGGAGGAUAGCCCAGAGAAAUUUGGAUUAAUACUCCAUAGUACUAAUGAAUCACCUGGUUUAUUAGUUAAAACUCCGGUGGUAAAAGAUGGGCAUGCGUGUCAUUAGCUAGUUGGUAAGGUAACGGCUUACCAAGGCGAAGAUGACUAGGGGUUCUGAGAGGAAGAUCCCCCACACUGGUACUGAGACACGGACCAGACUCCUACGGGAGGCAGCAGUGAGGAAUAUUGGUCAAUGGGUGAGAGCCUGAACCAGCCAUGCCGCGUGAAGGAAGACUGCCCUAUGGGUUGUAAACUUCUUUUCUGCAGGAAGAAAUCACUCUACGUGUAGGGUGUUGCCGGUACUGCAGGAAUAAGCAUCGGCUAACUCCGUGCCAGCAGCCGCGGUAAUACGGAGGAUGCAAGCGUUAUCCGGAUUUACUGGGUUUAAAGGGUGCGUAGGCGGGCUUGUAAGUCAGUGGUGAAAUGCUGUGGCUUAACCAUAGAAUUGCCAUUGAAACUGCAAGUCUUGAGUACAGUUGAGGUGGGCGGAAUGAGUAAUGUAGCGGUGAAAUGCAUAGAUAUUACUCAGAACUCCGAUUGCGUAGGCAGCUUGCUAAACUGUAACUGACGCUGAUGCACGAAAGCGUGGGGAGCGAACAGGAUUAGAUACCCUGGUAGUCCACGCUGUAAACGAUGAGCACUGGUUGUUGGCAAUACACCGUCAGCGACUGAGCGAAAGUAUUAAGUGCUCCACCUGGGGAGUACGUCGGCAACGAUGAACUCAAAGGAAUUGACGGGGGCCCGCACAAGCGGAGGACAUGUGGUUUAAUUGAUGAUACGGAGGAACCUACCUGGGCUUAAAGUAGAGUGCAUUGUUGGAACAGGCAUUUUUUCGGAACUCUUUACAAGGUGCUGCAUGGUUGUCGUCAGCUCGUGCCGUGAGGUGUCGGGUUAAGUCCCAUAACGAGCGCAACCCCUAUUGUUAGUUACCAGCACGUAAUGGUGGGGACUCUAGCAAGACUGCCGGUGUAAACCGUGAGGAAGGUGGGGAUGACGUCAAAUCAGCACGGCCCUUAUGUCCAGGGCUACACACGUGUUACAAUGGCAAGUACAAAGAGCAGCCACCUGGCGACAGGGCGCUAAUCUCAAAAGCUUGCCUCAGUUCGGAUCGAAGUCUGCAACUCGACUUCGUGAAGGUGGAUUCGCUAGUAAUCGCGCAUCAGCCAUGGCGCGGUGAUACGUUCCCGGGCCUUGUACACACCGCCCGUCAAGCCAUGGAAGCCGGGGGUACCUGAAGUCCGUAACC
rnacentral:rRNA from 1 species